GAGGUCCCGCCUGCCCUGUGACUAUAAGUUUAACGGCCGCGGUAUUUUAACCGUGCGAAGGUAGCGUAAUCACUUGUCUUUUAAAUGAAGACCUGUAUGAAUGGCAUCACGAGGGCUUAGCUGUCUCCCAUCUCCAGUCAAUGAAAUUGACCUCCCCGUGCAGAGGCGGGGAUGAUUACAUAAGACGAGAAGACCCUAUGGAGCUUUAGACCUAAAGUAAGUCACGUUUAACAUGCUGUGAUAACAGUAAAAACUUAGUGAUAUUUACUGAAGUGUCUUUGGUUGGGGCGACCGCGGGGUAAAACACAACCCCCAUGUGGACCGGGGAUAUUAUCCCUAAUACUCAGAGCCUCUACUCCAAGUAACAGAAAUUCUGACUUUUCUGAUCCGGUAUAACCGAUCAACGAACCGAGUUACCCUAGGGAUAACAGCGCAAUCCCCUCUCAGAGCCCAUAUCGACGAGGGGGUUUACGACCUCGAUGUUGGAUCAGGACAUCCUAAUGGUGCAGCCGCUAUUAAGGGUUCGUUUGUUCAACGAUUAAAGUCCUACGUGA
rnacentral:rRNA from 1 species